GCAGCUGGCACACAGUUUACCAGUAUGGGCUACAAGAUAGUAGUACUGAUUUUGACGAUCUGCUUUGCAGGUGUUGAUGGUCAAACCCUGACUGAAUCUGAACCAGCAGUUAAAAGGCCUGGACAAUCCCACAGACUGACCUGUACGACCUCUGGAUUCACAUUCAGCAGCUACGCUAUGGACUGGGUCAGACAGGCUCCAGGAAAAGGACUGGAGUGGAUUGCUUUUAUAAGCACUUCAACUUAUAGUUAUGUUACGUCUUAUUCCCAGUCAGUCCAGGGUAGAUUCACCAUCUCCAGAGAUGACUCCAGCAGUAAACUCUAUCUACAGAUGAACAAUCUGAAGACUGAGGACACAGCAGUUUAUUACUGUGCCCGACACAACACACUAUAA